GAUGAACGCUGGCGGCGUGCUUAACACAUGCAAGUCGAACGAAGAUGCCGGAGUGCUUGCACUUUGGCAGACUGAGUGGCGGACGGGUGAGUAACGCGUGGGUAACCUGCCUUAUACAGGGGGAUAACAGUUGGAAACGACUGCUAAUACCGCAUAAGCGCACGGUAUCGCAUGAUACAGUGUGAAAAACUCCGGUGGUAUAAGAUGGACCCGCGUCUGAUUAGCUUGUUGGUGAGGUAACGGCCCACCAAGGCGACGAUCAGUAGCCGGCCUGAGAGGGUGAACGGCCACAUUGGGACUGAGACACGGCCCAAAACUCCUACGGGAGGCAGCAGUGGGGAAUAUUGCACAAUGGGGGAAACCCUGAUGCAGCGACGCCGCGUGAGUGAUGAAGUAUUUCGGUAUGUAAAACUCUAUCAGCAGGGAAGAUAAUGACGGUACCUGACUAAGAAGCACCGGCUAAAAUACGUG
rnacentral:rRNA from 1 species